GUUGGAGCGGUGAUGAGCAUAUUUUUGUGGACUAGAGUUUCUGAUACUACUUCUGUAGUAUUUGAAGACCAAACCCUUGGCUGUCUGAGCUCCUCA
rnacentral:snoRNA from 1 species